AAUAGCACGAGCACUUUAAGCAAAACCCUAAAAACAACACGAAAACCAAGACAGGCUGCAAAACACUAAAGCAUAUCCGUUAAAC
rnacentral:sRNA from 1 species